rnacentral:rRNA from 1 species
GUGCCAGCAGCGGCGGUAAUACGUAGGGUGCGAGCGUUGUCCGGAAUUAUUGGGCGUAAAGAGCUCGUAGGCGGUGUGUCGCGUCUGCCGUGAAAACCUGCAGCUUAACUGUGGGCGUGCGGUGGAUACGGGCAUCACUUGAGUUCGGUAGGGGAGACUGGAAUUCCUGGUGUAGCGGUGGAAUGCGCAGAUAUCAGGAGGAACACCGGUGG